rnacentral:rRNA from 1 species
UACGUAGGUGACCAGCGUUGUCCGGAUUUACUGGGCGUAAAGAGCGCGCAGGCGGUCGUUCAAGUCGAGUGUGAAAGCCCCCGGCUCAACUGGGGAGGGUCACUCGAUACUGAUCGACUUGAAGGCAGGAGAGGGAAGCGGAAUUCCCGGUGUAGUGGUGAAAUGCGUAGAUAUCGGGAGGAACACCAGUGGCGAAGGCGGCUUCCUGGCCUGUUCUUGACGCUGAGGCGCGGAAAGCUAGGGGAGCAAACGGGG